rnacentral:miRNA from 1 species
ACCCUGUAGACUCGAAUUUGUG